rnacentral:rRNA from 1 species
GAACGCUAGCGGCAGGCUUAACACAUGCAAGUCGAGGGUAUAGUAGCAAUACUAGAGACCGGCGCACGGGUGCGUAACGCGUAUGCAAUCUACCUUUUGCAGGGGAAUAGCCCAGAGAAAUUUGGAUUAAUGCCCCAUAGUAUAUAGACCUUGCAUGAGGAUUAUAUUAAAGUCACAACGGCAAAAGAUGAGCAUGCGUCCCAUUAGCUAGUUGGUAAGGUAACGGCUUACCAAGGCGACGAUGGGUAGGGGUCCUGAGAGGGAGAUCCCCCACACUGGUACUGAGACACGGACCAGACUCCUACGGGAGGCAGCAGUGAGGAAUAUUGGACAAUGGGCGCAAGCCUGAUCCAGCCAUGCCGCGUGCAGGACGAAGGCCUUCGGGUUGUAAACUGCUUUUGUACAGAACGAAAAGGUCUCUAUUAAUACUGGGGGCUCAUGACGGUACUGUAAGAAUAAGCACCGGCUAACUACGUG